UUAAUGUCUGACUAACUCACAGCUAUGGAGGUUAUAUUUCAAAAAUAUCACUAAUACAGACAAACUUGAUUAUUUGUUUUCACUAUUUCUGCAGAUGGAGAACUGGAACAGGUUUUAAUGCUACAAAAUAGACGGCUCAGUGCUAGAACUUUGGAAUUUCUGACUGGGUCCUUGGCACUCUUGAAACUCUCCAGGCCACAGUUUGUUGCCAGUGGCUCAGAAGAACUACAGAGUAAACAUGCCUUUCAUUAAAGACCAAAAGAGUAUAAUAUCAAGGAAGCAGAGGCCCAGAAGGCAGGCUGCCAUAUCAGCUCUUCCAUUAAAAGCAAAUCUAACUCGUGUGCUGAUAUGAGGCAAAAGUUCCAGCAGAACAUGAAGAAACAGCUUGUUCUUUAUGUGACACGCUCGUGAGCCUUGAGAGGGUAACAGGAAGCAGAGAGGAUGUUCCUUCAGGAGCCCUCUCAACAGUGAGGGCGAGGAAUGCUCUUUUAUGCCAUGCCAGGAGGGCAGGGACACAGCAGCAUUCAGCCCAUUGAACCAGCCUCUGAGUUCCAUGUUCUGAGGGACCACCACAGCCCACUGGGACUCUCUUUGGUGUCACAGUCUCCAGCUCAGUGUUGCUGAAUGGCCUGACAAUCAUGAGGAUGAACAGCCAGCAGGGGAGGGAUGUUCCUACACACUUGUUAAGACCAGAAUGACCAGGUUAAAAAUAGUCUUUGAAAAGAGAAGGGUGGGUUAGUUUUCCCCUGUAGAAGAAUACUUCUGUAGAAGCACUUGUGUAAACGAGCUGAAAUACUACUUUUUGGAAUAUGGGAGGCAUCCUCUUGUGUCCAGGUGAUCCCCCUUUUGAGGAAAGGGAAGACUCAGAACACUGAACUGUGUAACAGCAGUAGCAGUGCUGCUCUGUAUACAUAGUUUAAUACCCACGGGCUUCCUUGUUCCAUUUGCAAAACAGAGAUGGAUUUUACUAUUAUGACAUAGUGUGAUGAAGUAUAUGAAGAACUUUAAAUUACUGUGCAAUGGAUGCAGUAUGAAAAUAUUAGACAUUGAAUUACUUCAUUUCCAGUUCAUAGUUUUCUCUUCCCUUGGCGUUACAAGGUAGUGAGGUUUGCUGAGGUUUGCAUGGCUAAAUCCUGGAAGAUGCUUGAGAGGAUUUUUUUCUUUGGUUAAGUAGAACUCAGUUUGGAGCUUGACAUGGCCAUUGACUGUUACUGUGACCUCCUUCCCUCCAAGUGGUGUUUAAUUCUGAGUGGAGAAAAAUUCCUGUGAACACCUUGUCUGCUGUAUUCUGAAAGGUUGGAGUCCAUGAUCUAGCCAGAGAACAAACUGUUCUUGGGAAAAGCAUGAAAGUGUUGCUCACAGGUCUCCUUUGCUAUUUCUAUAAUCCUUUUUUCUGCUUAAUAAUCCAGAAGGGUUGGAAACAGAAGCAAUAAUAGUCUGUCGUGUGGCCAUACUGAGAAAUCAUAGGUAAUUUGUUUUACAAAGACAUUGUUUGCACUCCUGGCAAGUUAGUAUUCCUCCAUGGGGCACACUGCACUCACUUAAAAAAUUUCAGUUAUUCUUUCUUUUUUUUUUUCCCUAAGAGUAAUUGGGAAAGACCAGUGUGCUCAUUUUUGCCAUAGAGAGAACAUCAUCUGAAAUGUUUGUUGAGUGCCACCAGCUCUGGUGUAUAGUGACUGACUGUGCUAAUCAAACACAGCCCUAUGUAAGGCCAGUUUGGGGACACAUUGCCACAUGAACUGGGAUCUGGAAAUGUUUCCCUCACCCUGCACUGAGCUGGGAAAGCUGAGCCCAUCUGACCAGUCUCUCAGGCCAGUACAAGGUCCCACCAGCUCCUUCUGGUGCAACUCUACCCAUGAGAAGAGUUUAUAGUGCUCAGGAUUUGCAGAGACUCUGCUCUUAGUGCUGUGGAGAACCAGCGAGGAAACUCCUUGUAUCAUGUUGUGUAGACGUACAUGUUAGUCUCAAACAACCUCUGGGCAUUAAACUGCCAUUUUUGAUCUUUAUGUGGACUUUGACUUGUGUGCAGACACUGGAACUUCUUCCCAGAACCGCUGUGGGCCUUUGAGGAGAGUCCUACCAGCAAUACAGCAAAGUGUGAUGGAGAGACCAUGUUCUGCCUUGCAAGGAAUCCUGCUGUCAAGCCAUAGCACUCUCUGAAAUCAGGGGAAGAAGGCCUUUAAAAAAAACAUGUAUCUUGAAACUGUCACGUCUCCAGCCCAUCUGCUUUGCCCAUCAUGGCAGUAAUUUAUCCAGCAUUUUGCCUUACUCAUAUUCCUUGGAAAAUCACUUCUCUGUGCAGAGUGAUCGGUUUCUUUUUCAGGGCUCAGCUUGAAGUGCAAGGCUGUAAGCGGGAAUAUUGGUACUCUGACUCAUUCUCUUGGAGGGCUAUUUUUAUGAUUGUUCAUGGAACUACAUCUUAAAACUCUCAGUUCGUGUUCUUAAAUGAUUUUCACAGCUUUCUGCUGAGUCGUCUCAGCACAAUGGUUUUCCCCUCUAAAGUUAGGGACUUUCUGAGGUUCUCGGGAAUGUAACUACUCUCCAUCCCUGCAGCUUGUAAAACCAAACCAUUGGCUGAGUACCUCCUUCUUUUUCUUCACCUCAGUAAGUGGCUCCAAGUCAGUGCUAUUUAAAAUUUAAUCAGUCUUGUCCUAACAGGAUAUAAUUCUUGAAUUUUAGCGGUUUAUGUAAAAGAUAGGUUAAAUUCAGCUACACUAACUGCCUCGUGACAGAACCUUUAUCUCCAGAACCUCUUAAUGAGCUCUCAUUAGCACAAAUUGCCCCUCAAUUUCUCACCACUUCCUAUCUCCUGCUUUCUUUGCAAUCCAUUAGCAUCCGUUUGCAGCCUCAUUUGAACAAUUAAACUUUAUUGUUUCCAGAAACACACAAGGACCCCCAGGUUCUUCUAUUAGGUCUGUGUCUCAGGGACCUGGGAAAGGAGUCACACGGUCCAACUUAACAGAGGCCAAAUUCUACCUACAGUUCAUUAUCCUCGGGGAAAAAUUUACUGCAGGUUGUUGAUGUGACUGGUAACUCUGGAUCACCCUAUAAAGGCACUUAAACUAAAUGUCUGAUGUUAGAGUGCAAGAAUCUCCAUCCUUUCCUCACACCCGAGGUUCAAGUCUCCCUGGCUAAUCUCUGCACAGAACUGUGCCUUCUCCGUGGCGUUGAUUUGCCACGGGUUUGUCUUUGUGCUUGUUUAUGUUCACCGUUAAUGGCUCAAACUUCCCUAAGUGAGCUGGAUGUUCUCAUUGGUUCUUAUUUGCCUGUGAGUGUUUCAACUACCAGCAGGCAAACUCAAACUCUAAGCCAUGACAAUAGUCCCCUGAAACUGUGCUCGUGGAUUAAAGGCUAGAGCGGCCCUGGAAGCCGAUCCCUUCCAAAGGGAUGGAGUCCAUGGACUCUUAACAGUAAUUGUAUGGUGUGAUGUGAACUGUAUUUUCUGAGCUUGUCUGCUGACUGUGUUUAAAGCCCCUUGAGAAGAAACAGAUCAGAGGUUUUACAGCUACACAGAGUUUGUGCCCGAACACUAAUGGCUACGUUGGCAAGCAGAAGGGACUUGGUAUUUCUUACUCUUUCCUCAAGAUACACCAUCUUUUCUUUUGACAUUUUGAUAGAUCAGCAGAUUCUCAUUCCAUGUUAUAUUCCAGGCAUGCAGCUGAGUGAUGAUUAAUGUCCAUGAAAGUGAAAAUGCUGCAUCUUUAUUUCUUAUGUCUUUACUGUGUUACAUUAUGUCUUGUUUGAUGACAACCGGAACUGGGAAACGUGGCUCCAUUCAAGUCAAUGGCAAAGCUUCCAGUGACAAAAGUGUCUCAUUCAUAAAGCUGUAAACACAUCUUACUAUUUUUUUGUAACUUUAAUUAAUUAAAUGCUCUCAAGAGGAGUCAGACAGAGCAAAAUCUCAACUUCAGCCUUCAUCUGAUCAGAAGUCUCCAUUUUGCUGAAGUAUGGUAUGAAGUCUUUUUUCUAAUAUCACAUGGCAGAAACAGAGCCUGUUUCUGCCAUAGUUUUUCCCACCAACUUGAAAACCAUGACGGAAGCAGAUCUUUUUAUUUACUUGUUUUGUGGUUGUUAGGGAAUUUUUUCCCAAAAUAUUAGUGUUUGGAAAUAAUAUUAAUUUCUUUGCUCCUUCUUGUGCAUCCCCCAAAGUGGAUUUCACUUUACAGGCGUUAUGUUCAGUAAGGACUGAAUCACUUGCUAGAAAUUUGCCAUAAUCCUUUCGGUUCGUUAUUUUCUGCUAAUCUUCAAAGCUUUUCCUAAGUUUAACAAGUCGCUGGAGUUAUAGGAGAUGGCGAAUUCAUCCUAGACCCGAGGAAAUGCCUUUUCAGGCUUUACCCCACUUGCUGACGCAGCUCAGACAUCGGAAACGCGAGUUUAAGAACGCGGCGGCGUUCUCAAACUCCGGGGCGAGGGGAGCCGGAGAGACUUCUUAAACUCUUCACAGGGGUCAUGCAAACUGGCAUAAAGUCUUUUAACAGCAAAAAGUUCCAAAAAGUCCGGAACAACCGCAGGCUUCGCGCUCCUCCGGCCGCCGGGGAGCGGGGCAGGGACAGCCCGGGGCUCCCCCGACCCGCCGCAGCCGGGACGCGGCGCUGGGAACUC